GACGAACGCUGGCGGCGUGCUUAACACAUGCAAGUCGAACGGAAAGGCCCUGCUUUUGUGGGGUGCUCGAGUGGCGAACGGGUGAGUAACACGUGAGUAACCUGCCCUUGACUUUGGGAUAACUUCAGGAAACUGGGGCUAAUACCGGAUAGGAGCUCCUGCUGCAUGGUGGGGGUUGGAAAGUUUCGGCGGUUGGGGAUGGACUCGCGGCUUAUCAGCUUGUUGGUGGGGUAGUGGCUUACCAAGGCUUUGACGGGUAGCCGGCCUGAGAGGGUGACCGGCGAGCUGCGGACGCACAUACGGCGCGACGUGCUGCGGGGUGCAGGAGUGGGGAAUGACGAAGGAGGGGCGACAGCCUAGUGCGGCGGCGCCGCAGGGGGGUUGACGGCCUGCGGGUUAUACGCCGUAUCCGACGGAGACGGAGGGGAGGUGGCGAUAGUAGGUAAAGACGCACCGGCGAACUACGUGCCGGCAGCCGCUUUAAAAAGCGACGACCCCUCAUCUGACU
rnacentral:rRNA from 1 species